rnacentral:lncRNA from 1 species
CGGAAUACCCGAAAAAUCAAAAUAAUUAUUAAUUAAAAAAUAAAAUUUUUAUAAUUAUAUAUGUAUGACAGUACAAGUCUGUCUGUCUAAUGAGUCUAUCAUUAUUCCAGUAUUCACAUCCCAAUUCCUUCACGGUCUUGCCUCUAUUCGUCUCUCGUCUCAUCCUCUCCACCUCUCUCUCCGUCUCAGUCUCCGGCCUCCGCCUCUCACGAUCUCACCUCGACAACUAUGUUCUUCAAUCUCGACGGCCCGACCUCUCUUCCGAGUUCCAACGUCAGGUAAAUAUAUAUGGCAUACUACUAAUGUUCAAUCCCUUCCUCACACUUACGGAUCUGGAAACAGGACAUGUAAAUUAAUGUAAAUCUAGAAACAUGACGCCUUUCCUUGGAUCAAGUUGGUGAUUUUUGAAACUGGGUCUUUAUUAUUUCUUUCAAUUUUGGUGCAUAAAUGGUUGCCCGGUUAAACAAUUUGAAGAAACCGGCGCACUUAUGACUUUCUGUUGUUGAUUGUAAUUUGUAAUGUUGUAACCUGUUUAGUGUUAAGGUAACUGUUAAUUAUGGAAGCCUUUUAUUUCAGUUAUUCGGUUAUUAGCUAAUUCGAUUAACAAUUCGGAUACUAAAAAUGCGUUAAUUUCGAUUUUCAGCUAUAACCGAAUAGUUUAUUCGGUUCGGUUUGGUUAUAACCGAAUGCUCACUCCUAAUUACAAUUGUAUUAAUCAUUUAAGAUCAAGUUUACUAGCUUUAUCAAUAUUCGUGAUAUUAUAGAUUCAGUUCGACUCGAUUUACACUUCUAUGAGUGCAUUUUAAGCAAACAAAUUUCUUCUCACUUUUGAGAAGAAAGUUAAAGAAAAGAAAAUAAAACAUUCUCUUCUCUUCUCUUUUUUUUUUCUUUAAUUGAAAAACUCUCAGCCACUAUGUUAUUUUGUUAAGAAAAGAAGCUAAGGAAAAUCUAUUCGAAUAUCUCCAAUUCUUAUAUUUGUGAGUUUUUUAAGAAAGAACGAAAGAGAUUUUGAAAUAAAAUUAAUUUUAUUGUUGAGUUAAAACCUUCACCGAAAAGGUAGAGGAUUUAGAAAGACGAUUACAUAUUUUACAUUACCAAAAAUAAUAUUUAAAAUAUUAAAUAAUAGAAAUUGAUAUUUUUAUAAAUUUUUUUUGAUAUUGUCAACAUAUUAAUCAUUAAAAAUUCAACACAUCAACUAAUAAUUAUAUAUGUAAAAAUAUAAAAAAUGACGUAGAAAUAUCAAUUUCCUUAAAUAAUAUACCAUUGUUCUCUCCUCUUCACUCUGUUGAGUUCUACCGUGCUUGCUCCGCCGUUCGCUUGUCUGCCAUUAAUUUUCCGGUUUGCUGUUUUUUUGUUGAAAUCUCUGGUAAGAUCCCCAAAUCAUGUACCCUAAUUUUUUCAAAUUGAUAACUCAAAUUUGUUUUAAUCAAAUUUUAUCCUCUACUCGUUCAUCUUUAUUCAUUACCUUGUUUUCAUGAAUAUGGAUCCUCAAUAUUGUGAGGUAAAUGAAUUGAUAGCUUUUCUGAGAUUCUUUUUCCUAUGAUGGUAGUUGGGGGUUUUAGUCCUUUCGGGGUUCCAUAGAUUAAUACUCUCUGUAGAAUCCAGUAGCUAGAAAUAGUUUUACUGUCUGUGUCCUUGGAUCUAUCUCUAUUUUUGUGUUGAAUGUGGAGUUUGUGUGAAAUGUGGGAUCAUUCAAUCUCUCUCUUUUUAAUUUGUUUUCCUGUUGUGAAGGUGCAAUUAUGAAGCAGAGUCUGUGAUGUAUUGAAGCCCACCAUUAACUAUUAGCUUUAUUUUUGUUAUGAUAAAUUCAAAAAGUCAUUGUCCCAAAGUUAUUUGGUUUCACAAAUUAACUGACAAAUUAACUUUUAGCCAAAUUAACUGUCACAAAGAAAAUGACAUAGCCUUCUAUGGAAUUGGAGGAGUAUUCCGGGUAUCAAUUGUUAGAAAGUUAGGUUGGUUAUUUUUUUUUUCUUAGUUACAAUAGUGGUAUAGGGAUUCUUAUAACUAGCAUAAUAUACAAAUAGUACUAUAGUAAAUAUACUGCUGCUGCUUUCUAAAGUGAAGUUGUCCAAAAGUAUUAAAUGGGUAUGCUACAAAUAAUGUGAGCUUUUUUUGGUGUCCCUAUGGGAGUAUUCUGUAGUCAAAGUUGAUUAUAAAGUAUUUAAUAGUCAAUUUAUUUUGUACCAUUUAUUUUUCAUAGAUGUAAUUUAGAAAAAAGAAAAAAAAUCUUCAUACGCACAUUUAUGGUACACAAGACGAUAUUUUUGAGAAGGGAUGUUAUCCUCUUGACUAUUUGAUAAUUGAUAUUUCAUGUGCGUGUGCAUGUUAGAUAUGAUGUAGUAUUCUCGACUCAAUAAUAACACCUCUUGUCUAGUUCAAUGCGGGUGGCAUGUGGUACGAGGAUGUGGGGUGGGGGAGAAGGAAAAGUGAAUGGUGAAUAUAGGUUGGUUUUCCCUAAAUUAGGGCAUGUUAGGACAAGGCCUCCUCCCCCCAAAACAGGGUCACUCAUUGACAAAUGUGACCUGUCUUUGUUGUAUUCGAGUCCUGGACCAAGAGCUACUAGCUACCUUACCUGUCAUUAUUACUAAUAGUAGUAUUUAUUUUUGGCGGUGGCAGAAAUCUAUGUAUUUUGAAAGGUUUUCAUUUUCAUCAGUCACCCUCAUCUAAUCUAAUCUAAUCUAAUCUAAUCUAAUCAAUUUCAUCAUUAUUCAUUCAUUCAUGUCAUUAUUACUAAUAUAUAUAUAUAUAUAUAUAUAUAUGAUAAUCAAAUGCAUUUGAACUCUUGUAAAACCUUGUGUAUUAUAAUUAUAAUGACAUUCUUCUGUCUUGCAGACAACUUGGUAUUCUUAAAAUUGAUAGCAUAACCCAUAAAGAGGAUUAUAAUUUGAUGUAGGUAUGAGCAGAACAUUAUGUUUCUGGUCUUCGUCAUAAUUUGAUGCAGCUCUUGUCCUUCUGUUAGAAUUUUUUUUUGUGGGAGCAAAAAUAUUUGACUAUUAGAUGACCUUUUUCGUAUUGGACAGAGAAUUUAUUGUAGUCAUAAUUAGAGAAGUUAUUACUCUUCUUACGCACUAUUAUUUAGGGUUUUAUUAGGGUUCUUUUAAAUACUUAUUGUGUAAUAUAUCUACCAACCUUGUGAAUUUCUUCCUUUCUUUCUUUUUCACACCCACCCCACUCAGACUUGGAUAGAGAAAUUUCUCAGUAGUUUGAGUUUGACCCUUCUGAUCCAUUCUAUUUGUUGUUGUUGUUGUUGAGGAGGAGGAGGCAGAGGCAAGUACUACUAGCCUAGAUAUUAGGUAAUGUCACAUCACAAUUUCGUCCUUAUAUAUACACUGUAUUUUACUUGCUUUCUUUCUUUAAUUUGUUUGUGUACCUACCCGCACAGAAUACAAAUCGAUAUAAGUAUAUGUGAAAGAUGCCAUCUUUAUCUUUUCCCUCUUCAUUCAUUUCAUUUCGUUUGCAGAUUUCCAGGAUUUGAUAUACUCCUUUCUAACUAUAUAGAAGAAGGAGAAGAAGAAUGGCUCAGCUUUGUUGCUCUCCUCUCCCCAAUCACUACCACCAUCUCAACCCAAAUCGCGCCAUUUCCCCUCUUCCUGAUUAUAACAAUCUCACUUUCUCUUCCUUCUCCCUACCCUUCUUUGCUCCAUCUCUCUCCAUCUCUCCUUUUCCAACUAAUCCAUUCAACUUGCCCAAAUCCCAUAUUCCUUGAUAGACUCCACGGCACGCUUGCGUGAGGUGGUUGUUGCCCGGAUCGUUUCUAGCACAGUUGUUGGGUGAAUUGCUUGCAAUAUCUUAACCCCUCGUCUAUACUUUAGACGGUAAUCUUGGUACAAUUGCUCGCGUUCGGAAUCUGCGUUUAAUGGACAUCAACAACACCUUGACCCCUCGCUUAUAUUGAAGCGGUAAUCUCGAUACAAUCGACGAUUGAUGCGGUAGAAGACGCCACACACAACUAUGAACUGUUGUAUGAUAAGUCAAAUUGAAUCUCAAAGAAAUUACUAAGAAAAUACUAUUUUCUUAGGAAUUCUUCAAAGAACCAAAAGUAGAGAAUAAACUCACAAAUAUAUUGAAGAAUGAAUAAUGUGUUUGAUUACAUCAACUUAGACCUCUAUUUAUACUACUCAAAACGAUUCAAAUCCUAAUAGGAAUUUAUAAACUAUAACCCUAAUAGAAGUCAAUUUGGAAAAGAAUUCUAAUUAAAAAAAGAAGUCCUAAUUACAAUAGAAUUAUAAAAAUCUAAAAAUCAUUGCUGAAUAUGUAAUUCGUGGGCUUAGUAAGAGCAGAAUUGGGCUUGUAUUAAAUUGACCCAAAUUUGUGUCUCAUCCUUCUCUUUGGGUUUCCUUGUGUUAGCUUCAGCCCAAACAUCUUGGAUCAAUCCAUUGAGAUCUUGUUUGAACCUUUUAGUUCUAGCCUUCCUUGAUCCCCACGUCCCUUUAGUCUUGUUUGGGUCCAUGCAUGCCAUGUCCUCAUCAUUCCUCUCCUCUUGAAAAGGAUUUGUCCUCAAAUUGUCACCUACAUCAAACGGACUUAGAUCAGUAACGUUAAAUGUGGUACUAACAUUAUACUCAACUGGCAAAUCCAAUUUAUAGGCAUUGUCAUUGAUACGCUUGAGAACUUGAAAUGGACCAUCUCCCCUCGGAAGCAAUUUCGAACGUCUUUGAACGGGGAAUCUUUCUUUCCGUAUAUGUAACCACACCCAAUCUCCGGGUUCAAAGAUCACUUGAUGUCGUCCCUUGUUCGCGUGCUUAAUGUACUGUUCCGUCCUCCGUUCAAUCCGUUCACAAAUAUCGAAUCAUGAUCAUGCUUAGACCUAGGUAAACCCAACACAAAGUCCAUAGAAAGAUCAAUCCAAGGUUCAUUAGGAAUAGGCAAUGGUGUAUACAAUCCAUAGGGUUGAACACAAGAUUUAGCUUGGCGACAAGUAGUUAUCACAUAUUCUUUCCACAUCUCGUUUCAUAUGAGGCCAAUAAAAAUGUUCUUUCAAAAUAGUAAAAGUUUUAUCAACGCCAAAAUGUCCCAUUAAACCACCCCCAUGUGAUUCCCUAACCAACAACUCACGCAAAGAACAUGCAAGAAUACAUAAUUUAUUUUCACGAAACAAGAAUCCGUCAAUUCUAAAGUAUUUACCCACAACAUUCUUUUCACAAAUUUUAAACUCUUCACCGAAAUCAAGGUCAUUAUCAUAUAACUCUUUAAUUCGUUCAAACCCAAUCAAUUUCGUAUCAAGAGUAUUUAACAAAACAUACCUGCGAGACAAAGCAUCUGCAACGACGUUCUCCUUACCUUGCUUAUAUCGAAUAACAUAUGGAAAUGUCUCGAUAAAUUCCAUCUAUCGUGCAUGCCUUUUGUUCAACUUGUGCUGACCCUUAAAUUUUUCAAUGAUUCAUGAUCGGUGUCAGUGGAUCACAAACUCCUUAGGCCACAAGUAAUGUUGCCAUGUCUCCAAAGCUCUAACCAAAGCGUACAUCUCUUUGUCAUAUGUAGGAUAGUUCAAAGCUGCCCCACUCAACUUUUCGCUAAAAUACGCCACUGGUUUCCCUUCUUGCAUCAACACAGCUCCAAUCCCUAAACCUGAAGCAUCACACUCAAUCUCAAAAGUUUUAGCAAAGUUAGGCAAAAUAAGUAAAGGAGCAUUUGUCAAUUUAUCCUUAAUCAAAUUAAAUGCUUUUUCCUGUUCAUCACCCCACUUAAAGCCCACACUUUUCUUGAUGACCUCGGUCAAUGGUGCUGUAAUCUCACUGAAAUUCCGAACAAAACGUCGGUAGAAACUUGCGAGUCCAUGAAAGCUUCGUACUUGACUCACAUUGGUUGGACUCGGCCAAUCCCGGAUCGCACGUAUUUUCUCCUCAUCAACUUGGACUCCCUGUGAACUCACAACAAAGCCAAGAAAAACAAUUCUAUCCGAACAAAACGUGCAUUUUUCCAUGUUAGCAAAUAACUUUUCUUUCCUAAGUACAUCUAAAACAGAUUUUAAAUGCAAUGCAUGAUCUUCCAAGUUUUUGCUAUAAAUCAAGAUAUCAUCAAAAUAAACUACGACAAAUUUUCCAAUGAAUGGACGCAAAACAUGGUUCAUUAAUCUCAUGAAAGUGCUGGGUGCAUUAGUUAAACCAAAAGGUAAUACUAACCACUCAUAAAGACCAUAUUUAGUUUUAAACGCUGUUUUCCAUUCAUCACCCUCUUGCAUUCUAAUUUGAUGAUAACCACUUUUUAAAUCAAUUUUUGAAAAUAUGCAAGACCCAUGUAAUUCAUCUAACAUGUCAUCUAAACGAGGAAUGGGAUGUCGAUAUUUUACCGUAAUGUUAUUUACCGCUCGACAAUCGAUGCACAUCCUCCAUUUUUCAUCCUUUUUCGGCACUAGAAUCACCGGAACUGCACACGGCUCAUACUUUCUCUCACGAAUCCUUUCCCCAUCUGCUCGUCAACUUGCCUUUGUAACUCCUUCGUCUCCUCGGGAUUACUCCGAUAAGCUAGGCGGUUUGGAAUCGUCGCACGGGGAACAAAAUCAAUUUGAUGCUCAAUUCCCCGAAUAGGUGGUAGUCCAUGAGAAAGCUCUUCGGGAAAUACAUCUUUGAAUUCCUGUAAGAGAGAUGAAACAACAGUAGGCACAGAUUCAUUAAUGUUAGUAUUCAAAAGCGCCUCUUUAUACCGAAGUAAAAUCAUAGGCUGUUUAGAAAUCAAAGUUCUUCUCACAUCACUCUUUUUUGCUAGUAUAUUUGUUUUCUCUCAUCUUUCUUUUUCUCUCUUUUUUUCUUCUUGAUUUUUCUUUUCUUCACUCUCUUUUCUUUUGUACAUAAUCUUUUUGCAAAUGAAUUUGAUCGUCAUGUACUUGUUGUGGUGACAAAGGACGCAAAACGAUUUUCUUCUUGUCGUAAACAAAGGAAUACACAUUGGUAAAUCCAUCACGUUGAACCCUCCUAUCAAACUGCCAUGGUCUACCCAAUAACAUAUGCCCCGCCUGCAUAGGCACCACAUCACAAAAUACCUCAUCAACAUACCGACCAAUAGCAAAUGGAACUAACACCUGUUUUGUUACUUUUAUGUCUGCAUUAUCAUUGAGCCACUGCAAACGAUACGGCUGUGGAUGUUUGGUAGUAGAUAACCCUAAUUUCUCCACCAUCGUAGUGCUUGCCACAUUUGUACAGCUGCCUCCAUUUAUGACUACACAACAGAUUUUCCCAUUCACAAGACAUCGAGUAUGGAAUAGAUUUUCCUGCUGUUCACUGCUCUUCUCCUUAACCUGCGUACUAAGUGCUCUUCUUGUAACCAGAAUUUCACAAUGUAUCGCAUCCUCACCUAUCUCCUCUAAUGGUGGCAUAGAAUCAGUGUCGCUCUCUUCCUCCUCGGUCUCCACAUCUCCAUUGUCAAGCAACAACAUUCUCCUCUGAUUUGGACAUUGGCUAGAAAUAUGUCCCCUGCCUUGACACUUAAAGCAUACAAUAUCCCGAUUACGCCCAAAAGAAGGUUGUUCAUUUUUACCUUGUAUAUCUCGGUUAGUUGAUCCUUGCUUAGGUUCCAUCUUUGGUUUGAUCGCAGCUGUCUUUUCCUCUCACUUUGCCAAGUUAGGUCUCCAUGUUGAACUAACAUUAGAUUGUCCUCGUUGUCCUCCUCGCCUCUUGAGUUGUUUCUCUAUCUUAGUAGUCAUAUGUACCAGUUCUUCUAACUCCAAAUGAUGUUGUCGUUCAACCAAGUCUGCAAUCUCCCAGUUCAAUCCUGCCGAGAACCUUGCCAUCGCUGUUUCAUUAUCCUCCAUCAAAUUAGCUCGAUCCUUCAACAUUUCCAUCUCCCUGUAAUAUUCAUCCACACUCCGACUUCCUUGUUUAAGAGUUUGCAAACUACGAACGAUCUCCCAUUGAUAGUAUGCUGGUACAAACCUCUUUUUCAUAAUAGCUUUCAUCUCCACCCAAGUUGUAAUCGGCUGCUCUUCACACCUUCUCCGAUUAGCUGUCAACUGAUCCCACCAUAUCAAUGCAUAUCCAGAAAACUCCGUAACGGCCAGUUUGACUUUCUUAAGGUCUGAAUAGUUGUGACAGUCAAAUAUUCGCCCCAGGAUCACCCGUGCCUUGGAAAGCUGGAAUCUUCAUUUUUAUGCUAUCCAAAUUGCCAUCUUCUCUGUCCUGACCUCUUCUUUCCCUAGCACCUCCGUGUCUUUGAUGUCGAAAAUUAGAUUCACGAUCUUCCGCUGCACUACUGUCCUCAUCGUAAGGGUCUUCCUUUCUUGCGUCAGUUUGUUGUGUCCUCGUUUUGUUUUGCAUCCCAUGAGUGUUUUGGGAUAGCUCAACCAUAGACACCCUCAUAUCUUCUAAUUGUUCUUGCAUUUACUCCAUAGUCUUUCUCAAUUUUCGAUCACAUUCUUUAUGCAUGGCUUCCAUCUGGAAUUUCAAUUCAGCUGUUGAGGGUUGUUCCUCACAAAUUCCUUUAUCCUUCGAGUUAGACAUAUUUCCUGCAAAAUAAGGGUUAGUAGAAAACAAUUUUCUCACCACUCCCUUACGUGUUUCGCUUGAAUCAAUGGUUCACUCGUGUAUAUUCUCAAUAAAUUGACUUUUAUCCUCGAUUAAUCUCACCACUAAGCCUUUUACCUCAAAAUAUUCUCUCUAAUAGAUUAUUCUUGAAUUCCCCUAGCAAAAUUCUUGGGUUUACUAAUCGAUUCAAAAAUUACUUAUGACGAAACAAAAUAUAUAUAUAUGGUGUGAUUAUCAGAAUACCACAAAGUCACCGAUCGAUUGCCUUGCACUCCUCUUAUAUGCUUCAAAUUUGUAAAUUGUAGCUCCGUUUCAGAAUUAAUGAUGAUGGAACGGUAUGAACUCUUGGUUGGAAUUUGAUGAUUUGAUGGUGUGCUACAAGUUUGGUUAGCACAAUGGAAAUAAAAUCUAUUUUUUUUUUCUUUUUUUUUUUACAAUAUAUAUUUCAACAGAAAAUUAAAGAUACGUAACUUGUUAGAAAGGCUUAGCUUUGAUACCAAAUAAUGGACGACCACCUCACGCAAGCGUGCCGUGAAGUCUAUCAUUCCUUGUGCUAGUGUUGCCAGUGGUGAUGGUGGCUCUAGUGGUUGGAGCGAAGGAGGAGGGCGGUGGUGGCGGCCGCGAUGAUUCCUCCUCCUCCGAUGACGAUUCUUCCUCAUCAGAUGGUCUUGGACCUAUUGGGGCUUUUCUAAACGGUUGGAGAUCAAGGGUGGCUGCGGAUCCUCAAUUCCCUUUCAAGGUUCUUAUGGAGGAGAUUGUGGGUGUCAGCGCCUGUGUGCUGGGUGACAUGGCUUCUCGUCCCAAUUUUGGCCUCAACGAGCUCGAUUUUGUCUUCUCAACCCUUGUCGUGGGUUCCAUCUUGAAUUUUACCCUCAUGUAUCUCUUGGCACCCACUCUGUCUUCUACCGGUGUUGGUUUGCCUUCCAUCUUUGCCAACUGUCCUACUAGCCACAUGUUUGAGCCUGGUCCCUUCAGUCUUCCCAAUCGGGUUGGGAUCUUUGUUUACAAAGGAACUCUGUUUGCUGCCGGAUUGGUUGGAACUGCUCUCUCCAAUGGGUUAAUCAAGAUGAGGAAGAAAAUGGAUCCCAACUUUGAGACCCCAAACAAGGCUCCCCCUACCAUUUUGAAUGCUCUUACUUGGGCAGCCCAUAUGGGUCUUAGCAGUAACUUCAGAUACCAAACGCUCAAUGGAGUUGAGUUUUUGCUGGCAAAGGGGCUUCCAUCAUUUGCUUUCAAGACCUCUGUGGUUGUAUUGAGAAUGCUGAAUAAUGUGCUUGGUGGAAUGUCUUUCGUGAUAUUGGCUAGGCUGACGGGAUCACAAAGCUCCGCUGUUGACGAGGGAAAGGUGGUCGCUGCUAAAGAAGUGGAAUCAUUGCCUGGUGCUGCUGAGAAGGAUAAUAAACUGAUACAAGAGAGCAAUGAAUCUGUUCCCAAAUAGUAGUUUUACUUUGUUAGUUUAAUCUUGUUGGAAAAUAUGCNNNNNNNNNNNNNNNNNNNNNNNNNNNNNNNNNNNNNNNNNNNNNNNNNNNNNNNNNNNNNNNNNNNNNNNNNNNNNNNNNNNNNNNNNNNNNNNNNNNNNNNNNNNNNNNNNNNNNNNNNNNNNNNNNNNNNNNNNNNNNNNNNNNNNNNNNNNNNNNNNNNNNNNNNNNNNNNNNNNNNNNNNNNNNNNNNNNNNNNNNNNNNNNNNNNNNNNNNNNNNNNNNNNNNNNNNNNNNNNNNNNNNNNNNNNNNNNNNNNNNNNNNNNNNNNNNNNNNNNNNNNNNNNNNNNNNNNNNNNNNNNNNNNNNNNNNNNNNNNNNNNNNNNNNNNNNNNNNNNNNNNNNNNNNNNNNNNNNNNNNNNNNNNNNNNNNNNNNNNNNNNNNNNNNNNNNNNNNNNNNNNNNNNNNNNNNNNNNNNNNNNNNNNNNNNNNNNNNNNNNNNNNNNNNNNNNNNNNNNNNNNNNNNNNNNNNNNNNNNNNNNNNNNNNNNNNNNNNNNNNNNNNNNNNNNNNNNNNNNNNNNNNNNNNNNNNNNNNNNNNNNNNNNNNNNNNNNNNNNNNNNNNNNNNNNNNNNNNNNNNNNNNNNNNNNNNNNNNNNNNNNNNNNNNNNNNNNNNNNNNNNNNNNNNNNNNNNNNNNNNNNNNNNNNNNNNNNNNNNNNNNNNNNNNNNNNNNNNNNNNNNNNNNNNNNNNNNNNNNNNNNNNNNNNNNNNNNNNNNNNNNNNNNNNNNNNNNNNNNNNNNNNNNNNNNNNNNNNNNNNNNNNNNNNNNNNNNNNNNNNNNNNNNNNNNNNNNNNNNNNNNNNNNNNNNNNNNNNNNNNNNNNNNNNNNNNNNNNNNNNNNNNNNNNNNNNNNNNNNNNNNNNNNNNNNNNNNNNNNNNNNNNNNNNNNNNNNNNNNNNNNNNNNNNNNNNNNNNNNNNNNNNNNNNNNNNNNNNNNNNCCCUACCAUUUUGAAUGCUCUUACUUUGGCAGCCCACAUGGGUCGCAGCAGUAACUUCAGAUACCAAACGCUCAACGGAGUUGAGUUUUUGCUGGCAAAGGGGCUUCCAUCAUUUGCUUUCAAGACCUAUGUGGUUGUAUUGAGAAUGCUGAAUAAUGUGGUUGGUGGAAUGUCUUUCGUGAUAUUGGCUAGGUUGACGGGGUCACAAAGCUCUGGUGUUGACGAGGUAAUCGCUGUUAAAGAGGUGGAAUCAUUGGCUGUUGCUGUGGCUGCUGAGAAGGAACUGAUACAAGAGGAGAGUAAUGAAUAUGUUCCCAAGUAGUUAUUUUACUUUGUUGGUUUAAUCUUGUUGCAAAAUAUUCGGUUUUGUUUCCUUUAUCAGGAUAUUUUUCCUUUCCUUUUUUUUUAGUUGUUGCAUUUUCAAAUAAAAGAACAGAAUUGGUUUUUAGUCCAGAACCUUCAACCAUCUUGAUUGUUAUUGCUUUUAAUUCUUUGCUCCUGUGCCUAAUUUAAAUAUGAAAAUAUUCUGCUUUUGAUUAUGCAUCAUCCUUGUGGCCUAUAGGCAAACAUUUUGUUCUUGUUGAAACUGACAAGCGAAUAUUAUUUUCUUGAUGAAAAUGCUAGCAGCUAUUUCACAAAAUUACUUUUAAGUUAUGAUUAGCACUAGGGGUGAAACAUAAAUCAAAUGAAACCAAAACAGAGAUUAACCUUGUGGUAUCAAGGAGGCUGUUGGUCCGGAUUUCUGGUCCCAAUAGCUGUUCAUAUUACUCCUUGACUCUUGAUCGACCCCUACCCAGUUCAAUUCCCAUUAUAUCUGUUGUUAGACCCAUAUGGCUUGAAGAUUGUGAUCGUGAGAAGAAAGAAAUUCCUGUACUUUGGAGGCACAUUGCUUAUGAUUUACUUGUUCCAAAAGGUAUGAUAACCAUAUUUUAAAAUUUGGCAGUUGGCCUUAUUUGUCCCUCAUUAAUGUAACUGAAAUAUUUGUGUGCUUCUAAUCCCAAUAGUUUAUCAAAUUAAGCUAUGACCAGUAUAACAUUAAGCCUCUCAAUUUGCCAUGUUUACCUUUCUUUCAUUUUCAUUAACUGCAUUUCUUCAUUCAUAGAUCUUAUAUCCUCCAAUAAGUGAGUUGCUGUGAGUGAGACGGGUAUGAAACAAGGAAAAUCAGUCUUGCCUGAUGAUCAAGUAAGACAAUGUGAAUCCUGGACCUGCAAUGCCAUCUGAGAAAAGUAAAGCACCAGAAAUUAUCAUGAAUAGGGAUAGCUCUGUCGGACCUACUAGUAAAUACGCUAAUGAAAGCCAGACUUGUGCUCAUUGCGGCAAUAAUAAGGGUUACCAAAAGAUUCAGCAUGGUUCUGGCAAUGAAAUUCCAGAUAGAAAAUCAUCAAUUGUAUUUAAGGGGAAGCUAUUUCAAUUUUUGAGCUCCUUUCCUGAAGAACGGGUAAGCUAUUAUAUUAUUUUCUUGCUAUGAAUUAUCUUCACUUUUUGUGACAGUGUAACCCCAUUUUCAGUAAUUUAAUUAAGUUACUUUAUAAUCUCUCUAUUACAUUAUAAAUGAAUGAGUUUUAUUCUACAGUAAAUAACGUAUCUAUCAGUUCGUAGCUAAGCAGAUAAUAGUGACUGUAUCACUUAAUAGUUUAGUAAUUUUAAGAGGGAAAAAAAAUUCCUUUUUUCUGAGUGUUAACGCCAAGUUUUGCCGGCGCGUCCAAUCAUAGAAUCCACGUGUUUGAAUUUGCACAAUAACAGAUCACAUAUGAAGCUUGACGGUUUGUGCCGUCGGGGGAUAGUUCCGGUGUGAGAAUAAGUACAGGCCGUUCACAAGAUUUAACAAUAAAGACUUUAGUGUUUAGUGCUCAAAGAAAGUAUUCCCUCUUAAUUGAAAUCCACGCCUUGUAUUUAUAGUGUUCUCGUACCUUAGAAUCCCUUUCCGAGUCGGUUUACGACUCCUAAAUAUGGCAGUUACCAUUAUUUAGGUCCAACACAAUCUCCUUAAAAGGUGCAAGUGAAAUCUCACCUCAACACUACCUUUGGAGUUACUUUAUUUAAAUAUAGUUAGGACUAGAGUCCUUAACUAUUUGAACUUCUUGUGGCUUCAGACUCUACACGCAAGACAACCCACUGUGCAGGUCCAAUCCAACCGAACUCAUACAUUAGUCUGGGCUCCGGCCUAAAAGGGCUCGAACACCCGAUCCCGAACGCCAUACUACAAAUUAGGGCUCCGGCCCAAAGGACUCGGAUGCCCGAACCCGACCGCCAUAAACCCGAACAAGACUCCGGCCUAGAGGGCUCGGAUGCCCGAACUCCUUCGACAUCCCUGAGAGUUUCGGCCCGCUUAACCUCCCUUUCUAGCAUUGGGCCUUCAGCUCAUCUGGGGGUCGGUAAAAUACUCCCGAACACCCAGUAUUAUUUAUCUGAAUUGAAUAUAUCUCUAUGUAUCUUACAUGAUAAUACUCGGGUAGGAUAUACUUUUUGGAAAAUGAUAUACAUGUCGACAAAUAUUUAACGAAGUUGGAUUGUGUCCAACGUAAAAGUGUAUGUGACAGCAUAGAAUAAAUUAAAGUGAGACCUUUCUUAAUUUUUACUAAUUUCAGAUAUGCACAUAUAUCACAAUUAUAAUUUGGUUGAAAAUUUUCACAAUAUAUAGCAUAACUCAUACUUUUUAAAUUUAAUUGUGCUUAAAUUAGAGAUGACGUGUACACACGUGCGUCUGUGUAAAUGAUGUACUAUGAAUACAAUACAUUGGUCAAGUACUUUCCAAUUUAAACCAUAUAAUAGUGAAUUAGUUUCUAAAUACUUAAAAGAAUAUGCUUAUAAAAAAAGUAACUAAAAGAAGUAGAUAGCUUAAAACCUAAUACUAAUACUCCCUUCAUCCAGAAAUGAGAGUUCAAUCUAUUUCUAGUGAUUUUAUUACUUUUAAUUACAACCUUUGGAUUGAGAGAGUGAAUGGUUAGAUAGAAUGAGUUCACUAUCUUGGAACAUCCCAAAAUAUAAAGGAGCUCCCUCAAAAUGGGACAAAUGGAGUAUAUUUAAUCGUUCUUAGACAGAAACAUAGUAAAAGGCGACAAUCAUUUUCGGCGGACGGCAAAUUAUUUUAUAAUUUUGGGUGUCGUAAGUUAUUAAUAAUAAAAUUCAGCGAGAGCAGAUCCUCUGUUCCUAUUUUUUCUGUUCUUCACUUAAAUUUUGACAUCUAGUCUUAUUUAAUUUUAGAAUUAAUUAGUAUUAAGUAAGAAGUUAGGUGUCAAAAUUUAAUUGGAAGGACACAAAGAGACAGGAAAAAUGGGACAGAGGAUCUGCUCUCAAGUUCAGCAAUAACAUUUAUUACUCUCUUUAGUUUAUUACUCGGUCAUUGUUCCUGUUAACGCCAAGAUUUUUCUACGCGCCCCAAUCACGUAAAGCACGUCCAAUCCUGCACAGUAAACACGUUAAUACCAGAAGCUUGACGGCUUGAACCGUUGGGGGAUAGCUCCGGCGUAAGAGUCAGUACAGGCGAUCACAAGGUUAACAAUGGAGGAAAAAUAAUGUCUAGUAUCUUGAGAGAGAAAAAUAUCAGUUACCUCUCAUUGUGUGCUAUCCUUGCUAACAUAUACUCCAACUCCGGUCUUGUGUGCAACCGACCUGUCAGACCUUAUCUCACUGUACGCAACCCACCUGCUCCAUCCCAUCAUUGUUUUCCAUCGCCGGCCGACUAAAUCCCAUCCACAUUAAUGCCUUGCAGACAUAUCAGUCAACUAUUAUCUUGGUUAUCAUUACCGGUCAAAGCCCAAAAGAAAAUGUUAUUUACCCAUUGGCUUUAGCCCAAUGACUAAGCCCAAUACUUUUAGAACCUAAUCAUAGAUAAUUCAAUGGACUUGGCCCAGAGGUUCGGCCCAAUACACAUAAAAUAUUAUGGCCCAACAUUGCCCCCCCAGUUUUUUAUUAAACAGACCGUUUAAUAGAAAACUGUAAACAGUCCAUGAUGUUUAAAAGAAUUAGGGCGAGAUCAGGUAAAAUGCAUAAUAAAGUGCUAAGGCCCCUUUGGGGAAGUCUAGAUAAUUAGAACAGGAUAAGAUCGGAAGCCCAAGUGAUAAAAAAUUUGAAUCCCGAUUAAAACUCUCCAAAUUCGCCAUCAUUACUAGCAUUAAACACGCCGCCCUCGAGCUUCGCGAACAACUGACAAUACCGCCCCUAUAAAAGCUUUCUUUAUCCCCAAUUUGAAAGUUUUACCAACUAUCCGAAUUUCAGACGUUUUGAACUUUCUCCUUCCUCUCAGUCUCUCUUUCUCUGCAAAACUACAACAAUGGCUUCCCAGGAUUCCGAUCAAGAUACUCCUCUCGUCGUGACUCCCAUUACCUCCAUUCCUCCUAGUCCAAGCCCUACCAAAGGGGCUUCGGGCUCCAACCCCAAAUCGACUGUGAGCACAAGCAAAAAUCUAUCAUCAAAACCCUCACCAAACCCUUCAGAGUUCUUCAAGAGUGAAGAACACUUUCCUCAUGCCAAUACCCCAACCAUUAUUACUGAAACUGAGCUGCGCAACCUUCUGACCCGUUACCAGAUUCCAGAUACUCACUUGGUAAGGGCUCCGACUUCUAAGGAAAGAAUGUACCAGCGACCUGAGGGCUGGACUGCCAUUUUUUCAAUUCUUCUUGAAAAGGGGGUUCGAUUCCCUCUUCAUUCUUUUCUAGUCACCAUCCUAGGGUUUAUUGGUGUAGGAUUUGCCCAACUGGUGCCGAACUCCUACAUCCAUAUCCUAGCUUUCAUCGCCUUCUAUCACGAGGUAGGCGCUACUCCUACCCUCGACUUCUUCUUCUCCAUCUAUAACAUUAACAAAUCCCGUGAAAAGGGAUUUAAGGUUCUAAGCAAGCAAUCGCCGAAGCCUGGCGAGAAAUUCGAAAGGCGGUCCUUGGUAUCCACUCCUUCCAGCAACAAAGGAUGGCAUAAGGAGUGGUUCUUUGUCAAAGGACCAAAAAUUGCUUCUCUGCUGGACUAGACUACCUUGAAAAAAGUUUUUGCUGACUUUGGUGAUAUUGCCGAAGAGAGUGUAAAUGAGAUAAUAGAGCUCUUUGACAACUUCCCGAAGAAAGAAUGGAGCUUCAGACUGUUAACCAAACAUGCAUGGUUGUAUGACCACAAAUGUAAGUCCCAAACUAUUCUUUUGCAUACUUUCUGAAACUCUGUGACAAUAUUGGCUCUGAGUUGUUGUUAUAAACUCCUUGCAGUGUCUUUGAUCAAACCAACUUCCUCCGACCAACGAGACCUCGAAGAAUUUAUGUCUAAGAAAGAUUCAGAAUCUCCUGCUGAGCCUUCGGCUGCUGAACCUCCCACCGAAGAACCUCCAACGGCUGAAACUCAAAUAAUUGACCAUCAGUCUACCGAACCUCCACCCACAAUCGAACCUGCUCCUCCUCGCCGAAAAAAGAGAGCGGUUCGAAAAGCCAAACCCACUCCUCCAUCAACCUUUACCGAGAGCCUACUGGACAUGUCCCAAGACGAACGGACUCGGCUCCUUCGUACUAAGAAGAGGAGAACCAAGGUAACCCCUCUUACUGCCGAAGAACUCCGAGUGCCCUCUUCCGAAGCUGAUCUUCCCCCAGUUAUACCUGUGGAGAUUGUCGUUUCUGAAGCGGAGCUCGAGGAGCAAGCAGAACCUUCUUCCUCCCUUACUCGCAAAAGAAAACAUCAUUCUGAAGAUCAACCUAUUCCCCCUUCAGAAAAUAUAAUAACCACUUCUCCUCCUCAUCUCGAAUAGACAAUCAUUUAACCCCCACCACCUCCUAAACAACCCAAACCUGCUUCGCCACACCCCUCUUCAUCUGAAGACAGGCCAGAAGCCGUAGCAUCUCCCACUCUCUGGCCUGAGCUUAACUAACACUUUCCCUUCCAGCUCUAUGACUCAUUCGUUCGCGAUACCGAUGAUCACCGGUUCGAGAACAGCUCAAUCAUGGAUCUCAUUGAUGAAGGAAUGAAGUACCAAGCUAAGGUAAGUUAUUUUAACUUCCUUAUUUAUCUUCCUGCUUACUUAUCUGAAACUGAUAAACUAAUGUUGAGCACGUGCAGGCAAACACUGUCUUCGAGCGCCUCCGUCCUAAAUAUAAAGAAGCUAAAGAGGAUGCUGCCCGAAAAGAAAAUGCUAUAUUGAAGUCUGCACUGGCGAAGGAAAGAGGUGAUCACAACAUCACUGAGUUUAAUAAUGAAUGCCUUCGGAAAGACCUUACUCAGACCACGGAACAACUAGAGUAGGUUAAGGCAGAUCACCGGGUGAUCACUGAUAUGAACACGGAUCUAGUUCAAAGGAACGAAGUCCUUGUUCAGAAGAGUGAGACCCUGGCUAAAACCAACCGAAGUCUGGCGCUACAAGUGAAUGAGUUCGAGACCAGAGAGCUACGUCAUCUAAAGGAGCGUCAGAAACUUGAAGAUGAAGUUAGAGACCUUCGGGCCCUUAGAGAUUUAGGUCCACCAUUGACCGAAGAUCUCCGAAGAGAUAUCCAAAUGAACUAUCGAAAAUCAGCUGAGCUGAAUGAGGAGAUCGUUCAGAUGUUUUCGGAAGGGUACGAGGAAUGCCGAAGCAAAGGCAAGGUAAAACUUGUCGAAGCCAAGGUAGAUCUGUCUCUCCUAGACUCAUCAGAUGGCGAAGACGAUGCCUGAAGAUGGUCUAUCUUCCACCCAGACUUAGGAUUUUUGUAAAAAUUUCUAUCUUUUUUUGUAAACAGUUUAAUAUCAAUGAAAUAUUAACUUCGUUCCUUAUGACUUCUUUAUAAUCAUUUCUUGUCAAUAAUUUAGUAUUAAUCAAUUUGAAAAAUGUACAAGCUCUUGAUUAAACUUAACUUAAACUGUUAGUCAAUAAUUAAAUAAAUUAAAUAACAGAUAAGAUUUAAGUAAUAACAUAAUCCGAACUCAACACUUAACAAAAUCAGGUAAUAAAGUAAUGUCAUACUUAUUCGUUACCGAAGUGUGAGACAGAUCUGCCUGAAUCCAACUGAACUUCCUCGCAUCAUAUGGAUUUUGUUUACCACGCGAGGCCUAACAAAUUCACAGGAUACACCGAACAAAUAGGCUACCAUCGAAUGGUUAGCAAGUCCACCCGAACCUCCUUUCACCAAUGAACUUUGUUUACCACGCAGGGCCUAACAAAUUCAUAAGAUCCACCGAACAUAUAGGCUACCAUCAAAUGGUCAACGAGUCCACCCGAACCUCCUUUCACCAAUGAACUUUGUUUACCACACAGGGCCUAACAAAUUCGUAAAAUCCACCGAACAUAUAGGCUACCAUCAAAUGGUCAGCGAGUCCACCCGAACCUCCUUUCACCAAUGAACUUUGUUUACCACGCAGGGCGUAACAAAUUCAUAAAAUCCAUCGAAUCAAAUGGUCAGUGAGUCCACCCGAACCUCCUUUCACCAAUGAACUUUGUUUACCAUGCAGGGCCUAACAAAUUCAUAAAAUCCAUCGAACAUAUAGGCUACCAUCGAAUGGUUAGUGAGUCCACCCGAACCACUUUUCACCAAUGAACUUUGUUUACCAUGCAGGGCCUAACAAAUUCAUAAAAUCCACCAAACAUAUAGGCUACCAUCGAAUGGUCAGCGAGUCCACCCGAACCUCCUUUCACCAAUGAGCCGAACACCAAUGAAGAAAAGAUCAAUUGGAAAAAAGAAUCUUUUAUUGAUGAUGAUUCAAAUAUUUGCAGUCUUCGGUAUACUGACACUGUCUCUACUAAAAAUAUUUCCGAAGCCUAUCAUCAUGUCAAGUAUUCUUGAUAUCAGACCCAUCUAAUGCUCUCAACCGAUACGUUCCUGGCUUCGGUACUUCAAUAACUUCAUACGGUCCUUCCCAGUUUGGCAUUAGCUUUCCCAAAUUCUGAGACAUAGACGCUUCGACUUCUUUGAGGACGAAAUCUCCCACUUCAAAUCUUCGAAGCUUUACCCCUUUAUUGUAAUGCUUAGCUACUCUUCGCUGAUAGGCUGCCAGCUUUAUCAAAGCUGUCUCUCUGACUUCUUCCAGUAAGUCCAUAUUGACUUUUAACCCUUCAUUGUUGUAUAUUUCCUUAAACUGACUAACCCGAAAACUUGUUGACCCGAUCUCCACAGGGACUAAGGCAUCAGUACCAUAAGCCAACCUGAAAGGUGAAUCUCCCGUCGUAGUCCUCGGUGUAGUCCGAUAAGCCCAUAACACGCUGAACAGCUCUUCGAGCCAUCUUCCUUUAGCCUCAUCCAGUCUAUGCUUAAUCCCAUUCAGAAUUGUUCUAUUGGUUACCUCAACCUUCCCGUUAGAUUAUGGAUAAGCUAUCGAAGUUCUCCUAUACUGAAUCCCUAGUUCUUUCAAGAAUGCUUCAAAAUUUGAUCCCACAAAUUGGCAUCCGUUGUCCGAUAUUACCACCUUUGGAAUGCCGAAAUGAAACACUAUAGCUUCCUUUAGAAACUUUAAACACUCAUGUUCAGUUAUCAACCUAAGUGGCUUUGCUUCCACCCAUUUGGUUAUAUAAUCAAUUGCAACUAUAACGAAACUGACCUGACCUUUAGCUUUCGGCAAUGGACCCAGUAUAUCUACCCCCCAGACAGCAAAAGGUAUAGGAGAUAAAAUUGAGUAUAGUUCUUCUGAUGGCUGAUGUGGGAUCAGACUGUUGAGUUGGCACUUUUGACAUUUCUUUACAUACUCAGUAACUUCCUUAAAAAUGGUAGGCCAAUAGUAUCCCUGUCGAAGUACUUUGUAGGCUAAUGACUUAGCAGCCAUAUGGUCGCCACAAAUACCUUCGUGAAUCUCUCGAAGAGCAUAUUCAGCUUCGGAUGGAACCAAACAUUUCAACAAUAGAGACGAAAAAGCCCUUCGAUAAAGAUCCCCGUCAAUAAGAACAAAGUUAGCACUCUUGUACUUAACUUUCUUGGCUAGCAUCUGAUUCGAAGGAAGGACGUCAUCUGCUAGAUACUCUAGAUAUGGAGUCAACCAGAAGUUAGAACGCUCAACAUAUAUUACUGAUUCAUGCUGGAUACUAGGCUGCUGCAGAAUCUCCAAAUAAAUAGAUCCAUCAAAAUUACUAGCAUCUGUAGUAGCCAGCUUUGAUAAUGCAUCGGCAAUAGAGUUAUCAUUGCGUUCAACGCCUUGAAACUCAUAGGACAGGAAAUACUGAAGCCGAUCCUUCAACUCUGCUAGGUACUUGAUCAUUUUUGGUCCUCGGGUUUCAUAUUCCCCUAAAACUUGCUUGACCACUAGCUGAGAGUCACUAUAAAUGAUUAACUUCUGAACUUCAAGACUCUUCGCCAGUCGUACUCCUGCUAGCACCGCUUCGUACUCUGCUUCGUUGUUUGUUGCUCGGAACCCAAACCUAAUGGUCUACUGCACCUUGAAUCCCUCCGGACUUGUCAAAAUAAUUCCUGCUCCACUGAUAUCCGAAGUAGAAGAUCCAUCUGCAUACAACGUCCAUGAGCUCUGGUUCUAUUGAAGAACUACAACCGCUCUGUCGGAACCUUCAACUUCUCCCACUCUAUCAUCAGCUUCAGAAAACGAACAUUCAACCACGAAAUCAGCUAAGGUCUGCCCCUUAAUAGCCGUCUGGGGAUGAUAUUCUAUGAAAAAUUGAGAUAAUUCCAUUGUCCAAGCAGCAAGUCUCCCCGUAACCCCAGGCUUGCUCAAAACCUUCUUCAGAGGCUGAUCUGUGUAAACUACCAAGAGCCGACCUUGAAAAUACUGCCUAAGCUUUUGACUAGUUAUCAUCAAAGCAAAUGCAAACUUCUCAAUGUUUGGAUACCUUGUUUCAGCAUCCUUAAGGACAUGGCUUACAUAGUAAACCGGAUGCUGCCUAUCCCCAACUUCUCGCACCAAAACUGCUCCUAAUACCAAUAAACUAGCUGCUAGAUACAAAUAUAAUGGCUCAGCAGGAGCUGGCUUCACCAACAAAGGCGCCGAAGAUAAAUACGUCUUUAUUCCCUAGAAGGCGUCUUCACAUUCCAAAGUCCACUGAAACGUCUUCGCAUUCUUCGGCCCUUUCAACGUAUCAAAGAAUGGCAAACACCUUUCUGCCGAUUUAGACAUGAAUCUCCUCAAAGCUGCAAUUCUCCCGGUUAGUCGUUGAAUAUCUUUAAAUGAUUGAGGAGUCUUCAUGUUCAGAAAAGCCUGGAUCUUUUAUGGAUUGGCUUCAAUACCCCGCUGACUAACCAGAUAACCUAGGAAUUUACCUGCACCGAGACCGAAGGUGCACUUGGUCGGAUUUAGCCUCAAAUUGUGAUGACGGACUGUCUGAAAACAUUCUUCUAAAUCGUCCAAGUGCUUCUACACUAUCAUGCUCUUCACUAUCAUGUCAUCGACAUAUACUUCCAUGUUCCUCCCCAGCUGCCCUCGAAAUACGAAGUUCAUCAUCCUCUGGUAAGUGGCUCCAGCGUUUAUCAGGCCAAACGUCAUCUUCUUAUAGGCAUACAUCGAACGAUGCGUAAUGAACGCCAUCUUCGGUAUAUCCUCUUUACACAUGGAAAUUUGGUGAUAACCAGAAAAAACAUCCAUAAAGCUAAGUAAUGCAUACCCCGAAGUUGCAUCGAUGAGCUGAUCAAUGUGAGGUAAGGGAUAGAAGUCCUUAGGGCAAGCUUUAUUUAAGUCCGUGUAGUCAAUACAGACUCGCCAUUUACCAUUCUGCUUCUAAACUAGCACCACAUUCGCCAUCCAUUCCGGGUAAUAUAUCUCGAAGAUGAAAUCUGCAGCCAACAACUUUGCAAUUUCUUCAUCAAUAAUCCUAUGUCGCUCUUGUGCAAAAAUCCGUCUUUUCUGCCGAACUGGCUUCUUUGAUGGGUCCACCUCCAGCCUAUGCUCCGCAAUCUUUUGGCUCACCCCGGGCAUAUCAUUAGGCUCCCAUGCGAAGAUAUCUACAUAACAUCGUAAAAGUUCUAUAAGGUUCAUCCAGAGAGGUUCCGGCAGAGCCGAACCUAUCUUCACUGCUUUGUCCUUCUUGCCAGGAACCAGCUCGAACUCUUCUGUCUCUCCAGCUGGCAUGACCAACGACUCUGAACUACUUUCAGUAAAGGGCUCAAUCUCUAUCGCCAUAGUUUGCUUUUGCUUGCUAACUCCUACUCCUGAAGCAAUCACAACAUUUCGAUAGUAGCGUCUAGGCAGAUUUAAAUCCCUUGCCUCCUCACCAACCCCAUGUGCUGUCGGAAAUUUAUCUUGAAGUGAGGAAUUGACGUCACAACUUGCAGAGCAGUCAAAGAAGUUCUUCCCAAUAUGGCGUUGUAAGCCGAAUCUACAUGCACAACAUAAAAUUUACAUAUAAUUUUUACCUGUUGUGGAGCCAUACCGAAGAUAACUGGUAACUCAAUAGUCCCUGCCACCUUAACUGGAUCAUUACUGAAGCCAUAUAAAGGAGCCUCCUGUCCGACCUCUAUCUUCCGUCCAUCUAAAUGCAUCCUCUGAUAAGCAUGGGCGUAUAGAAUAUCAACAGAAGACCCAUUGUCAAUCAUCAUUCUCUUCAUGUCCACUGAACCCACUUGUGCAGUAAUCACCAACGCUCCUUAAUGGGGUUCGAUGGGUUCUGAAGGGUAAUCCUCAUCAGUAAAGGAUAUUACCGUUCCUGGAUACGGUUUGUCAGUCUUCGGGAGUGUACCUGCUACCGACAUGACCGAAUCCAGAUAUCCUCGUCUCUUCUUCCCAAUCAUCUUCCUUGCUGUCCCCCCGGUAAUAACAUCAAUGACGUGCCUCGGUGGCUGAUUAGGAGCAGGUUGUGCAGGUUGAACUGGUUGAGCAGUCUGAACACACCGGUCAUUCUUCGGCUGUUCUUGUUAGUGCUCUUUUCCUGCCACGUAUUGGACCAAUACACCACUUUGAACCUUCUUUUCCACGAAUUCCUUCAAACUACAACAGUAGUUCAUGUCGUGACCAGAUGCUUGAUGAUAAUCACAAUACUUGCGAGUAUUACCCGAUCCCGGUUUAAGAUUAUCACGAAGUGGUUCAAAGUAAGGUUGGUUCUUGAUCUGAUCCAAAAUAACAGCCCUAUCCGUAUUCAGUUGAGUGUAUACCUUGUUCACCUUCUAGGUGGGAACAUGUGGACGAUUCCCUCCUUGACGCCAAUUGUUGUUGUACUUCUUCGAGUUACCUUCCGACCGAUCAUUAUUCCCUCCACUCUUCUUCUGAUUGCCUUCAGCUUUAUCCCUGUCUGUCUCCUUCAACCUGUCCGAAGAAGGAUGCUUCAAGCUAUUCAUAGCUUCCUCUACCACAAUAUAGCCUUCAGCCUUAUCAAAAGCUUCGGCUAAACUCUUCUGGUGGUGAAACAUCAGCUUCUUCACCAGUUUCUCUGACUUCACUAGAUCUAAACCGUUCUGAAAUAAUCCAACAGCCUAAAGGUCAUUGAGAUCGGUCACAUGGCCGACUGCUUCCCUAAAGCGCUUCACAUAUUGGCUUAGAGACUCAUUCAAAAAUUGUUGAACUUGAGCUAACGAACCGGUAGGCUUUCCUCUCCUCUUGUUGCUCCCAAACCGAGCGUUGAAUUUGCCACAAAGAUCUAUCCAAAACGAAACCAAAUCUGAAGGCAAAGUUCCCAUCCACUGCCUGACGUCUUUUCAGAGCGUCGUAAUGAAUGUCUGACAUUUGGCAGCAUCACUAAAAUCAUAGUAGUCCAUCAGUCUGUCAAACGCUUGACUAUGGUCAUAAGGAUCCCCAGAUCCAUCAUAACUUUCCAUGUGAGGCAACUUCUUGGUAGAAUCAGCCUUCUCCUUAAGAAUAUCAGAGGAAAAAGGAGACACCUUUUUUCCCGAAGUAUCCUUCACUUGUUGGACUUCGGCCAGCUGCUUCCGAAGCUCUUUUAAUUCUUUGACCAGAAAUUCCACUUCUUCCGGUUGCGAAGAGACUUCUUUCUCCGAAGAACCCCUCUUCCUCUGAGUAGAUCGGCCCUUAUCCUCUGAACCCACAACUCUAAAUGGACUUCUCCGAUGACGAGUAUCCACAGGGCGGUGUGCCCUCAAUGGAUUCUCAAGAGUGCAACUUUUGGAUCUACUUCGGUGUAGAGCUCUGUCACUAUGGUGAGAAUACUCAAGACGGUGUACCUUCUUUGUAUUCUCGAGUGUAUACUCCCUGAACCUGCUUCUUCGUCUGCUUCUACCUUGAUCCCGAGAACCGAUAGGGUAGAAUGCCCUCUUUGAUCUCUCAGGUGUGUGGCUUCUUGAUCUUCUUCGAUCCCGAGGUCGGCCUCGAGAUGUACGACCAGAGUGUACAAGCUCCUUUUCUCUCCUUAUUUGUCUUUCUGUAGACUCACUUUGUCCUUCUGACUGAUCAUAACUAGACACUUCGUCCUUCAUCUCCGCCAUACGAAGCAUCUGUUCAACAAUGUCUUCCCUCUGUUUCAAAAGAACCUCUAGGGCCUUGUCAGCUUUGUCUGCCAUCUUGGCAAGCUUGGAGGCCUUAUCGGUCUGACCAUCCCGGUGUCGGGUUCUAGGCGGUGUGCCUUCUACCCGUCUCCGACCAUGGUCAGGUCCUUUCUUGGCAGCAAAAACCAAUCUUCUUUUAGCAUCACUAUGGGCUCUCGAACGAGAACCUUCUGAAAAAUGUUUGGAAGCCGUACUAUCAUGAGCACUCUUUGAAGGACCCAAAUGAUCUUUGACAGACAUUCGUUGAAUAGACGAACUCACAUCCAUCUGCUGUCCUUCAGGGGUAACCGUUCUACUCUUUACCAUAACUUCCGACGUAGAACAACUAAAAAGUUGUGAUUGAAAACUCAAGAACACUAGAAAACAACCCUCCUUCUAAUGCCAAUGUUAACGCCAAGAUCUUUCUUCACGCCCCAAUCACGUAAAACACGUCCAAUCCUGCACAAUAAACACGUCAAUACCAGAAGCUUGAUGACUUGGACCGUCGGGGGAUAGCUCCGGUGUAAGAGUCAGUACAGGCGAUCACAAGGUUAACAAUGGAGGAAAAAUAAUGUCUAGUAUCUUGAGAGAGAAAAAUAUCAGUUACCUCUCACUGUACGCAACCCACCUGCUCCAUCCCAUCACUGUUUGCCACCGCCGACCGACUAAAUCCCAUCCACAUUAAUACCUUGCAGACAUAUCAGUCAACUAUUAUCUUGGUUAUCAUUACUGGUCAAAGCCCAAAAGGAAAUGUUAUUUACCCAUUGGCUUCGACCCAAUGACUAAGCCCAAUACUUUUAGGACCCAAUCAUAGAUAAUCCAAUAGACUUGGCUCAAAGGUUCGGCCCAUUACACAAAAUAUCAUGGCCCAACAGUUCCCUUUUAUUGCUUCGCUUGACUCUCUUGUAGUAGUUGUGGCUUUAAAAUGUCUGAAUAAUGAAGUGAAGGAUUAAUGAAAGUAGACUUGAUAAAUCUAUUGGUUGAAUAUUAAAUAGUGAGAGUCAUAAUUGAAGUGGCUUGAGAUUAGGACAUUAGGUAAGUAAUUAUGUUGGGAUAAUACGAAGUUUUCUUUAGCAAAACAAUAGAUGCAUUGUAUAAUAGAUCAAUAUUUAUAGACUUAUUACAAUGGUUUGACUGCCAACAAACAUUGUACUCAUGUAGUGGAUUCUUUGUUUUUUAAUGAAUCCCAACUAUUACUAUUUUUUGUUAUGGAAUGGGAAUGAGUGUGUAGAUGAUACUGUAUAUUGAUAAAAGAAAUUUUAAAAGCAAAAGAACGAUUAGUUUGAUAAAUAAAGGUUUCUAACUAUGUUGUCGAACACAAACCAAUUCAUAUGUUGAUAGGUUCACCAGUAUCUGAGAUAUCUAUUCAUUUUUUACUAUUUUUGAUUGUCGCUCUAAUAUUCGGUAAAAUAAAAAAAUAAAAAAAUAUUGAAUAAUAAAAAUUAUUUUUUUAAAAUUAUAUUAAUUGUAUUUUGUCUUUUAUUGGGUCAAUCAAAUCAUUUAAUUUAUGUGGGCUAAUAAAUAUUAGUAAGUGAUAUAAAUUUAUUUAGUAAAAUUGGGCCUUAAAAUUAAUUGGGUCUAAUUUAUAUUAGUGUGAUAUUAAAAUCCUAUUAAAAAUAGAAGAAAUAAUAAAAUAUAUAAAUAAUAACUAAAACCAAAUCUUCCUCAUAUCUAAUACAAACCGAGGGGAGAAGGAUAAGAGAGAAAACGACGAUAGUAAGAACAUGAAGCAAAAAGAUACUGUACUAUUCAUGUUAAUAAAGAGUUGUUUGAAAUUGUUUCUUGAUUGAUACGUUAAAAUAUGUUUCUCUCUCUCUCUCUCUCACACACACACACACACACACACACACACAUAUAUAUAUAUGUAUUAAUGAGUGACGAACGGGUCACUGGUACAAAAUUUUGGCAGCAAGUGCGCAUUUUUUUUAAUGUAUACUGUGUUAUCCCUGACACUAUCGAUCCAGUACAAUGAGACUUUGACUGUUUGCAUCUUAUUGUUGUUUGUAUGCAUAGUAAAAAAAACACACACCUAUUCCCUAAUACUAGAACCUAUGAAUGGUGUAUAUCAGGACCUGUUUAGGUUCAUUUAAUAUAGUAUUAUAUUUGAUCCAAUUUAUAUAUAUGACUUGCUAUGGCUUUGGAGCUAGAAUAGUAAUGUGACGCCCCCAAAAAUAGGUAUUCAUCACCCAUCUUGAGAUACAAGGUACAAAAUACAAAUACAAACUAAUUAUACAAUAGUCGUGUAAAAUACGACAAAACAUAAAUUGAGAGUUUUAAUAAGAAUAUUGUCAUCUAGACAAUAUCCACACUCAAAGGAGUCCUCAAUACAUUUAUUGUCACACUAUUUAACAGAAUAGUGAGGACUACUAAUACUAUCAUCUGGACCGUCACUCCGUUCCCCGACUAGUCCCUGCUACGUUCUCAUUUCCUGAAGAGAACAAUGAAAGAAAAAGGGUGAGCUCAACUAGCCCAGUAAGAAAUAUUAUGACUAAGAUAAUGCAGAAUAAAUUAUCAUUAGCCUUCAACAGUGUUAAACUGAUAAAAUAUAACAAACAUCAAGUUUAACUGCAGCGGAACAAGCAAUCCAUUAGAAGAGUCAAGUAGAGAAUAAAAUCUACUAUCUUCUAUGAUUUAAAAGGUUUUUCAUCACUUUUAUCGCUGAGACUCAGCUUAAUAAAUAAUCCACAUCAUCCCUGCACUACGGCCAAGGAUAUUCAUUAGUAUCACGACCACAAAUUAUCCAUGCACUACGGGCCAAGGAUAUUCGUGUAUUCAUCAAUGGUCAUGAUCAUGCCAACAACUGUCCAUCAAUGCACUACGGGCCAAUGAGGACUUUUACCACAUCAUUUGUAACAUUACGGUCAUGAUUAUACCGAUUAAUCCCUGGUUAUAAUCAUACCAAGUCCAUCUAUGCACUACAGGCCAUAGAUGACUUUCAACAUAAUAUAAACAUGAGGAUGAUGACAAUGAUAUAAGAAUUCAAUAAAGCAAGUUCAAGAAUUAAUUUAUCCAGGAACUAAUAACGUCCAAAUUGUCAACAUGAUACUGCUUUGUGGAGUAAAAUUUAAGAAUGCUCAGAAGAAUAUUUCCACGAAAAGAUACUGGAUGAAGCGCAAAUAUCCAGGAUAUUCUACUAAUUUUAUGGAGUAUAGAAUCCAAAAAUUUAACCAACUGAGUAUAAUAGAAUAUAUGAAACUGCAAAUGGAUUUUCACCCGCCAUGCGGUAAUCCACGUGUACAGAUCAUUUCCACAAUUUAACAAGGAAUGAAUACAAAAGAUCAUUCACCAUGCAUGUGGUAAUCCACAUAGGCAGGUUAUUCCAACAGAAUAAUAAAGAAUGGAAUAACAGAAGAAUUCACCAUGCAUGCGAUAGAUCGCACAGACAGGUUAUUCCCAACAGAAUAAUAAAUAAUGGAACCAGGUCAUGCGUAAACGCACAGACAUGAUUGAUAAGUGGUAUUUUUACCUACUUAUUGAAUACCAAUUCAUGCGAAUUGUGCCCAACUCAAGUACAUUUUAUUAUGUUUUAGUUGCAUUUCAUGUUAUUUUUCAUUGUAUUUACUUAAAAUUCCUUUUGGUGAAUAAGUGCAGGAAUUUGCUUAAUUUUGGUGGUAUUAGAGGAUACACGGCUAAUGGAGGCAUGAAGGCAAGGCAUAAACGGGGGAAUGCAUGGCAUAGAGGUGCAAUGGAGCAAGGAGAUCAAGCAUGAAUGAACAAGUAGUAGCAGCAGCAGCAUGACAGAAUCAGAAACAAAGUGGAGACUGUGAGCCGCGCGACAUGAUGAGUAAGGAAACGCGUGCCCGCGCGAGUACUCGGCCAGACCAUGAUGACUUACUGCAAGUUGCGCGACCGCGAGCAGGACAAGUGCAGGAGAUGCGCGCCCGCGUGAGAUGCCGGCUGGACAGGGCAGGACAUUCUGUAAGUCGCGCCUGUGCGAGACAUAUGCUAGAGAAGCGCGCGGCCGCGUGCGAUGCUGAUGCUGUGAUUUUGUUUUAUUUCAAUUUUAAUUAAAUGAUGUGUAAUUGGUUCUGAAAAUGAUUCUGACUGGUGUCAGACACACACUUGAUAAUUUUUAGUGUAUUUUCAUCAUAGUAACUAGGGUUUACACCUUGGGAGAGAUUCCAACGUAGAACGAAGC